CAGAACGGGUGAGUAACACGUGGGCAAUCUGCCCUGCACUCUGGGACAAGCCCUGGAAACGGGGUCUAAUACCGGAUACGACCUUCCCCUGCAUGGGGGUUGGUGGAAAGCUCCGGCGGUGCAGGAUGAGCCCGCGGCCUAUCAGCUUGUUGGUGGGGUAAUGGCCUACCAAGGCGACGACGGGUAGCCGGCCUGAGAGGGCGACCGGCCACACUGGGACUGAGACACGGCCCAGACUCCUACGGGAGGCAGCAGUGGGGAAUAUUGCACAAUGGGCGAAAGCCUGAUGCAGCGACGCCGCGUGAGGGAUGACGGCCUUCGGGUUGUAAACCUCUUUCAGCAGGGAAGAAGCGCAAGUGACGGUACCUGCAGAAGAAGCACCGGCUAACUACGUGCCAGCAGCCGCGGUAAUACGUAGGGUGCGAGCGUUGUCCGGAAUUAUUGGGCGUAAAGAGCUCGUAGGCGGCCUGUCGCGUCGGAUGUGAAAGCCCGGGGCUUAACCCCGGGUCUGCAUUCGAUACGGGCAGGCUAGAGUGUGGUAGGGGAGAUCGGAAUUCCUGGUGUAGCGGUGAAAUGCGCAGAUAUCAGGAGGAACACCGGUGGCGAAGGCGGAUCUCUGGGCCAUUACUGACGCUGAGGAGCGAAAGCGUGGGGAGCGAACAGGAUUAGAUACCCUGGUAGUCCA
rnacentral:rRNA from 1 species